AUUUUCUUUAAAAAGAAGACACAAUGCAGAGAACUAGAGUGAACUGCAUUCACCUUCUGCCCCGUUCUGGAAAAGAGGUUGCCACCCCUGGUCCGGACAGGUAAACUGAAGCACGGGGUGGGGAGAAACUGCCGUUCAGUGGUGACAAGGACAGCACUGGGGACCUGGGGGGUGAGGAUCCCCGGGACACAGAGGGGCCCAGCCUCUGGCUCCAGCCCGCUUGAUGACGUGGUCCCAAAGAAAGACAGGAGUCAGCUGGCCCGGCCCUCUCGCCCACACACACUGGGGCCUGCUGCAGGCAGGGCCGGAGGUCCCCAAGGCCAGAGCCCACCGUCCAGUCUCCUGUGGCGGGAGCAGCCGGGGGCGGCCGGAGGAACGCGACCUGAGUGGGAGGGCGGGGACACUUUGCAGGAGGACAACAGAGGAGUUGUGGCUGCUCACACGCAGCUACUCAGUCUCGGCAGCCUCAGAAGACUUGGAAACACAUCUUGUUUAUUGGAAUUCCUCUGCAAAGUCACAUUUUAUGUGUUUCCUCUUCCAGUGGCUUUAGAAGUGAGACCAGGCAGAGGGAACCAGCUGCUGGUCCCUGGUCUGGGCCGCCCCUACCUGACUGUGGUUUGACGUCCAGCCCAGGGCAUUUGCAGAGGAAAAGCAGCAGCUUAGGCGGAGCAGGGUGAGGGCCGAUGGCGCGGCGCCUUCUCGGGUUGCAGCCCGGCCUCCGGGGAAGACAGCUCAGCUGGGAGAGCGGAGAGACCGUAGGGGCUGGAGUGUGUUCGCUCCCUGCCGUCCUUCCGUUGCUGGCCACCGGGCAGGUGCGGUCCCUUCUGCGGUUCCUCGGUCCCCUAUGGGGCGUGAGCAUUGGAGCUUGUGGUUUCUCAGCUCCUUCCAGCUCUGAGGCUUCUGUCCAAGCAACCCAGGCAGUGCCCGGACACAAAAGAUGUCCCUCAUCUCAGGCUGACAGGGAGAGCUGGGCACAGGCUAUAGCCCUUUCUCCGUUUCCCACUUCACCCGCUGGCUCCUGCUCAGCUUUUAACUUCUCCCCAGAUGCCGCCUUCUGCAUGAAGCCUGCCGGGGUUUGGCUGUGCCACUGCUGCUGACACACACCCCACUGCCGUGUUCUCUUCGGCCAUGCCAGGCACUCCUCCCGUCGCCUGUCAUCCUCCCCCCGGGGCAGGACCCCCAGCCCUCACCUGUUUGACCGUCCCAAAGCCGGGGGUGGGAGCGGGAGGCUUUUGGCGAGGUCAUGGAGGGAACAGGGUGGUGAGCCCGGCAUGAAGGGCCCUUGCUGCAGGGUCCUUGGCCCUGCCCGGUGGAGAAGGGUCAUGGGACAUGCAGUCCGGCCUCACCUUUGGAGUCUCCACCAAGACAGCCGAGGACUCAGAGAGGCUUGAUCUGUGGGACAACGAACCAGCGCCUCUGCCUGAGCCCCCAUCCCAACUCCCAGGUGGCGACGCUGAGUCCCUGGAGCCACACAGAGAGUGCUGGAAUGGUGGUGUGACCUGAGGCUGCCCCAGCCCUAUGGCCAGCACCGUCCUCCCUGCACCUGGCCUGAGGCUCUGUCCCCUCCCCUGUCCCCCCAGCCAAGCACCCUCUGUGGAACAUAGAAGCCCAGUAACUGUAAAAUAUGUGGGUGGUCUGAGCCGGCUGGUUCUGGAGAAAAGGAGAUGGGAUGUUCACCAAAGAAUGUCAGAGGAGAGCGGGCUGGGAGCAAGGGCGCCUUCACCAAACAAUGGUUGGCACAGGAGGUGGGAGAGGAGUCCUCAGAUCCACAGGCCAUGGGGGCAGGUGGAUUCCUUCCCAGCUGGCUGUUCCCACCUCUGAAGACCAGGGACAUGUGGGCCGGCGGAUUCUGCAGUGACUGGUGAGCCCUGACCUGCUUUCAUUUGCCCUGUGCGGCAGGAUUUCCCUUGGAAAACACCCUUUUGGUACUGAAAGUCACCUCUCUGAUGAGCUCCACAGUUGGCUCUAACCUGUUCCUGCCUCCCGGGGUUGUCAGGUGCCAGGGCAGACCUCUGGGGACCCACUCACAAAUGUGUCAUCUGUCAGGCGGGAGGUGUCCACGCCCUUGACCGUGAGGUCCUCAUUCCCAUCUGCAGCCUCCUCGUAGGAAACCAGCAGGGCCCUCAGCUGCGGUCUGACAUCUCCUGCCAGGUCACGGUGGAAUGGGAACCCUGGUGGGAUUUGGGGGAGGGUCGAGGGUCAGACUGGAGCACUGGGUCACAACCCACCUCAAACAUGGCCUGCAGAGCCCAGAAGACCCCAAGCCAGGUAACAGAGAACAUGAGGCGGCAGCAGCGCCUUGUCAAGCAGCCGCCCUGGAGUUGCCAGGGGCCCUCGCCUCGGGUGGCUUGCGGGGCUAAUGCUGACCCAAUGUGAGCCACACACAGGCUCACGUCUGCUGCAUUUGUGCCUUGCAACGUCCCGGCGUGACCAGCAGAGCCAUCGCUCUCUUUUUAAUAAACAGAGAGUUGGUGAGGUUGUGAACUCUGUCCAAGACCACAGAACCACCAUAAAACAAAGUCCAGGUUUCACAACUCCAAGGCCUGGCCAGCUAAAAACCCAUUCUGCUCGCCACCCAUCCAUCAAGAAACCCGUCAGCCUCAAAGUACACACUCCAGCACUCACCUGCUUCGCCAAGGCCAGGUGGGCCUGCCCUGUCACUGCUAGCCAUGGGUAGACAUUUACAUUUAAAGUGACAAGAAUUAAAUACAAUUUAAAAUUCAGCUCCUUAGCUGCACCAGCUGCAUUUCCAGAGCUCGACAGUCACGUGUGACUCGUGGCCACCUUACUGGACAGUGCGGAUCUAGAAUGUUCUGCCAUUGCAGGAAGUUUGGACAACUGCAAUAGCCUCUGCCCAGCCCCCCACCGGAGGAGGCUUUAACACAUGUAAUGAGGGGUCUGCCGGGCUGCCCACGUCCCUCAGGCCCCUGCUCCAAAGUCACCCGCUGGGGAGGACGUCCCUGACCUCCACAUCUGAGACAGAAGCCCCUCCCCACACUCUAUCCUUUCACAGCUUUGUCUUCAGUGCACGUGAUGUGGGAUAUGUCCUUCUAUCACGCAUCUCACCCCGUGCAAUGCAGGCUCCAUGAUGGCAGGAAAGGGCUCCGUCCUCAGCCCCAGGGCUGGGCACACAGCAGGUGUGCCCAGGAAUUAAUCAUUUCCAGACGCUGGCGCAGCACCUGGUGCCCAAAGCCAUAGGCCUGGGAGCUGUGCAGGUCUUGCAGGCAGACGACACCACUUAGUGGACGCGAUUUCUUCCCUGGUCCCACUGCCUGGUGCGUGCAGAGAAACUACUCCCAAGUGGGAAGUGAGUGGCUUGUUGAGGCUUGGGACAAAGCUCAGGGGUGUCCCAGGUGAACCCCCUUCUCUAAAACAAGCAGGUCCCUCCCUGCUCCGACACUGAAAUGACAUCACAGGGCACUGAGGACGUGGGGCCCGUCCCCGGCUGCUGCAGUGCAGUGCCACCUGCAGGCCGUGUGGCCUGAGCAGGCUGUGUCAUCUCCAGGCCUGCAGUCUCUCGUCUGUAGGAAGAGGAUGAUCAGUAGCCCAGCCUUGGAGGAGCCAUGCUCACCCCGAACGCUUCCACCAGCUGAGGCUGCAUGGUUUCAACAAGAGGAAUUUGUUUCUCAUAGUUCUGGAGGCUGGAAUUCCAAGAUCAAGCAGGGCCUAUGACCAUGUCUGAUGUUCAGGGAAUGAAGGAGUGAAGAAAGCAGGAAUGAACGAAGGAAGGAAGCAGCUCCAGCAAUUGGUUCCCAGGCAAGAAGCUGGUGGGGUUCUGACUUCUAUCCCGAUUCACACCCUUUCCUCCUGCCCUCAGGGCAGUCCUUCUCCUGCUCUUGUUCAUUCAUCCCCUUCAGCCCUUUCUUAUUCUCUUCUGUAGCCGAACCACAAAAAAUAAAUACAUUAGAAAUGUUUUCCGAGCUCA
rnacentral:lncRNA from 1 species